rnacentral:rRNA from 1 species
AUUGAACGCUGGCGGCAGGCCUAACACAUGCAAGUCGAACGAGUGGCGGACGGGUGAGUAAUGUCCGGGAAACCGCCCGCUGGAGGGGGAUAACCACCGGACACGGUAGCCACUACCGCAUACCACCGGAACUGCCCAGAUGGGAUUAGCUAGUAGGUGGGGUAACGGCUCACCUAGGCGACGAUCCCUAGCUGGUCUAAGAGGAUGACCAGCCAAACUGGAAGUGAGCAACGGUCCAGACGCCUACGUGAGGCAGCAGUGGGGAAGAUUGCACAAUGGGCGCGAGCCUGAUGCAGCCAUGCCGCGUGUAUGAAGAAGGCCUUCGGGUUGUAAAGUACUUUCAGCGGGGAGGCGUUACUCGCAGAAGAAGCACCGGCUAACUACGUGCCAGCAGCCGCGGUAAUAC